GAUGAACGCUGGCGGCGUGCCUAACACAUGCAAGUCGAACGGGAAUCUUCGGAUUCUAGUGGCGGACGGGUGAGUAACGCGUAAGAAUCUAACUUCAGGACGGGGACAACAGUUGGAAACGACUGCUAAUACCCGAUGUGCCGCAAGGUGAAACCUAAUUGGCCUGAAGAAGAGCUUGCGUCUGAUUAGCUAGUUGGUGGGGUAAGAGCCUACCAAGGCGACGAUCAGUAGCUGGUCUGAGAGGAUGAGCAGCCACACUGGGACUGAGACACGGCCCAGACUCCUACGGGAGGCAGCAGUGGGGAAUUUUCCGCAAUGGGCGAAAGCCUGACGGAGCAACGCCGCGUGAGGGAGGAAGGUCUUUGGAUUGUAAACCUCUUUUCUCAAGGAAGAAGUUCUGACGGUACUUGAGGAAUCAGCCUCGGCUAACUCCGUGCCAGCAGCCGCGGUAAUACGGGGGAGGCAAGCGUUAUCCGGAAUUAUUGGGCGUAAAGCGUCCGCAGGUGGUCAGCCAAGUCUGCCGUCAAAUCAGGUUGCUUAACGACCUAAAGGCGGUGGAAACUGGCAGACUAGAGAUCAGUAGGGGUAGCAGGAAUUCCCAGUGUAGCGGUGAAAUGCGUAGAGAUUGGGAAGAACAUCGGUGGCGAAAGCGUGCUACUGGGCUGUAUCUGACACUCAGGGACGAAAGCUAGGGGAGCGAAAGGGAUUAGAUACCCC
rnacentral:rRNA from 1 species